UUGUCUCAAAGAUUAAGCCAUGCAUGUCUCAGUACAAGCCAAAUUAAGGUGAAACCGCGAAAGGCUCAUUAAAUCAGUUAUGGUUCCUUAGAUCGUACCCACAUUUACUUGGAUAACUGUGGUAAUUCUAGAGCUAACACAUGCAAACAGAGCUCCAACCGGAAACGGAAGGAGCGCUUUUAUUAGAUCAAAACCAAUCGGUGGCGGUUUCCGUCAUCGUACAACUUGGUGACUCUGAAUAACUUUACGCUGAUCGCACGGUCUCGCACCGGCGACGCAUCUUUCAAAUGUCUGCCUUAUCAACUGUCGAUGGUAGGUUCUGCGCCUACCAUGGUCGUAACGGGUAACGGGGAAUCAGGGUUCGAUUCCGGAGAGGGAGCCUGAGAAACGGCUACCACAUCCAAGGAAGGCAGCAGGCGCGCAAAUUACCCACUCCCGGCACGGGGAGGUAGUGACGAAAAAUAACGAUACGGGACUCAUCCGAGGCCCCGUAAUCGGAAUGAGUACACUCUAAACCCUUUAACGAGGAUCAAUUGGAGGG
rnacentral:rRNA from 1 species